GAAGCUCAUGGGUUCUAAACAAUUUUUUUUUUUUUGAAGGACACUGUAAUCCUGACGAUAUUUGACUUAAGUGUAUAAACACGGGGCGAGACACAGAAAAACACAGCCAGCUGUCGUCGUGAUGAGCGCCGAGGCAAGAGAGAGAGGAGGACGUCUGCAGGAGAUGAUAAAAGAUUCAUACUUCAGUGGAGCAGUUAGUCAAGACAUUGUAGUGAGGAAAAUCAAAGAUUCCAAGGACUUCACAUUCAGGGGAGAGCUGAUGGAAGCCACCUUCUGCAGGGGCUGAUCCAAAGAUGGUGCCAUACCUGUACCAGAACAAACAAGGACAACCAUUGGCAAGAAGGACAAGCCAAACCAGUUGGAAGCCAUCCAAAAUCAUGUCUGGAGAUUCUAUAAAUGUUGCUGAAUGAGUAUUUAUGUGGAAAAUUAUUGGACAUCAGUAUUAUCACUGUCAUAAAUAUGACUGUCACGUGUGAAUAAGUAACAUCUACUGUUGUCAUGUUUUGAACUGCUAUGGAACAAAAUGUAAAGAUUACCAAUUCACAAAUGAAUGUGAUACAAUA